GAAAUGCGAUAAGUAGUGUGAAUUGCAGAAUUCAGUGAAUCAUCGAAUCUUUGAACGCACAUUGCGCCCUUUGGUAUUCCAAAGGGCAUGCCUGUUCGAGCGUCAUUUGUACCCUCAAGCUUUGCUUGGUGUUGGGCGUCUUGUCUCUAGCUUUGCUGGAGACUCGCCUUAAAGUAAUUGGCAGCCGGCCUACUGGUUUCGGAGCGCAGCACAAGUCGCACUCUCUAUCAGCAAAGGUCUAGCAUCCAUUAAGCCUUUUUUUCAACUUUUGACCUCGGAUCAGGGAGGGAUACCCGCUGAACUUAAGC
rnacentral:misc_RNA from 1 species